AGUAAUACAUAAGUAACCUGCCCUAGACAGGGGGAUAACUAUUGGAAACGAUAGCUAAUACCGCAUAACAAUGGAUGACCCAUGUCAUUUAUUUGAAAGGGGCAAAUGCUCCACUACAAGAUGGACCUGCGUUGUAUUAGCUAGUAGGUGAGGUAAUGGCUCACCUAGGCGACGAUACAUAGCCGACCUGAGAGGGUGAUCGGCCCCACUGGGACUGAGACACGGCCCAGACUCCUACGGGAGGCAGCAUG
rnacentral:rRNA from 1 species